rnacentral:rRNA from 1 species
CACGUAGGGACCAAGCGUUGUCCGGAUUCAUUGGGCGUAAAGAGCUCGUAGGCGGUUCGAUAAGUCGGGUGUGAAACCUCCAGGCUCAACCUGGAGACGCCACCCGAUACUGUCGUGACUAGAGUCCAGUAGGGGAGCGUGGAAUUCCUGGUGUAGCGGUGAAAUGCGCAGAUAUCAGGAGGAACACCGGUGGCGAAGGCGGCUCACUGGCCCGGUACUGACGCUGAGAUACGAAAGCGUGGGGAGCAAACAGG